rnacentral:rRNA from 1 species
GAUGAACGCCGGCGGCGUGCCUAAUACAUGCAAGUCGAGCGAAUGGAUUAAGAGCUUGCUCUUAUGAAGUUAGCGGCGGACGGGUGAGUAACACGUGGGUAACCUGCCCAUAAGACUGGGAUAACUCCGGGAAACCGGGGCUAAUACCGGAUAACAUUUUGAACCGCAUGGUUCGAAAUUGAAAGGCGUCUUCGGCUGUCACUUAUGGAUGGACCCGGGUCGCAUUAGCUAGUUGGUGAGGUACCGGCGCACCAAGGCAACGAUGCGUAGCCGGCCUGAGAGGAUGAUCGGCCACACUGGGACUGAGACACGGCCCAGACUCCUACGGGAGGCAGCAGUAGGGAAUCUUCCGCAAUGGACGAAAGUCUGACGGAGCAACGCCGCGUGAGUGAUGAAGGCUUUCGGGUCGUAAAACUCUGUUGUUAGGGAAGAACAAGUGCUAGUUGAAUAAGCUGGCACCUUGACGGUACCUAAACAGAAAGCCACGGCUAACUACGUGCCAGCCGCCGCGGUAA